rnacentral:miRNA from 1 species
GAGAGCCAUUGAUUUUUAUGUGUGUGUGUGUGUGUGUGUAUAUAUAUAUAUAUAUAUAUAUAUACACACACACACACACACACGUAUAUAUAUAAU